CUUUUUUUGCAUGGGAUUGUCAAGGACGUGGACAGCUGGGCAUGUGUAAUAACAGUUUGUUCAUCGAUCACAUUCUAUUAUAUCUCAAAUUUGUUAUGAUUUCAAUGUAUGUCAUAUCAGAGAGAACAGAAUGUUUCAAUUUGUCACCUUCUGCUUCAGUGAGUACCAGUCUAGCCUGAUGGCGACCGAUUAUUUUACCAAGUGGGUGGAGGCAAUACCCAUUAAGGUCUGUAAAGGAAGAGAAUGUACUUAACUCUACAUUCCCUUCUGUAACCCAUUUAAAAAGGCUGCUUGGAACCCAAAAUGUAUUUUCUUGUGUAUGAUACCCAUCAAGGACCAGACUGGCGAGGCCACCUCCAAGGCAAUGAUGUCUUCAACACCCAUGGUUCUCCUGAGGUCAUCUUGCGCGACCGAGGUCGUGUACUCUGGAACAAGGUACGGGUGUUAUAGGUUAUAUUCUGUCACCAAUGGUUUGUUGUAUUUUUUAAAAACAUUUUACAAUUCGAUUUUGUUUUUCCCAUGGUACAUAACCAGACAUUUCAAUAUAUUCCAUUGUCAGUCGAUAUCCCUUUCCUACCCCCUCCUCCAGGUUUGGAUGAACGGACCAACCACACCCUCAAGACUGCCAUGGGCAAGGCCUUGACGGGUUCCAGGAAUGGUGGCAGAACAACCUGAAGGUAAUUAUCUUUGCACCCAACGUUAGCGUCCAGGCCUCCAGAGUACUCACCCUUUUUCGCCGACUGUACGGACGGGAUCCGCAGCCGUUUACUGGGGUAAACAAUACAUUUGCAUAGAAAAGUAUUGCCUAUACUGUAGUAUUAAAAAAUGUGUGAUUGACUCAGUGUUUUUCUAUUGCUUUUUGUAUAAUGUACGUUUGAGAUCACUGAUACUCCACCUGAUGUGGUGGAAGUUGUCGAACCAGAUCAGAACGUCUUCGAGGACCACCUUCAGGCGCGGACUGAGAAGGAUGUGGAGGUUUCUGACCAGUCAGUCAAGGCGAGACUGAACAUGGACAAGGCAUAUGAGAAAAAGGAGAGCCACCGGAGGAGAAUCAAGGGGAUCAAGUAGUAGUUCCCCUUGCUCUGCAAGGGCCGCGGCUCUUGUGGAGCGAUGGGUAACGAUGCUUCGUGGAUGACUGUUGUUGAUGUGUGCAGAGGGUCCCUGGUUCGCGCCCGGGUAUGGGCGAGGGGACGGUUUAAAAGUCAUACUGUUACACUUCGACAUCCGGGCAAAUGACUUAGCUUGGAAGAAGGACGAAAGGAAGGCGAGACCUGGGAAAGCUUGGUGCUCUUUCGCUCCCAGCUGGGCUCACCAUCCGUUAAGGUGAAUAUAACAUUUCAGGUGAUAACUAUUUCCAAUUGCCUACUCGUGGUGGGUGGCAGUACCAACACUGGCCCAGUGGUUUGUCCAAAUAGUAAAUCUCAAGGUUAACCGCUGGGUCACGCUAAGUAACCACCACUUCCAGGUACGUACCGUUAAGGUGUAGGAACCCAGUGGUCAUGACACCACCCUGGAGUUUCUCACAACUCAUCUCUAUCUUUUCAGCUGUAUGAUUCAGAGACAGUUGUAAUGAGGCUGUGCUGCUUAUGUUAGUAAGUAACUACACUUUCAAUUUUGAGCCUCUUAGUUUCAUCAUGCUCCGUGUCCUACAUCUAAAAUAAAUACUCUUGUAUUUCUGGCUCA